CAGGAAACUGCUAGAGGAAGCUGCCUUGGAGAGGAUUCUUUCCUCCCCUCCCGAAAGGAGCUGAACUCAAAAUCUCUCCAUUUCACAAUAGACAUUGGAGAACAUUUUCAACAGUGGAUUUGCACCGGUGUUUUGUGUCCUAGAAAAACGUUCCCUUCAGGUAGGUUCUAAUAAGCCCCACUGGGACAUUUUGGACACCCUUGUCUGCUCUCUGCCUCUCUAACCUUAGAGGGUCCCUUGGAAUCAACUAAUAUUUCAGGUCCUUUCUUCCCAUUACUGUUGCCACACAAGGAACCCAGAUUACAUCAGGGAGAGGCUGAGCUCCAGAGGUUCACACCAGGAGCUUAUUCAUUGUCACACUGUUCCUGCUUCCUGACAGGUUCACUUGAACCAUCUGGAGAUUGGGGAACAAGGGCAAUGUGAGUAUUCAUGAAAUUCAAAUCAUGCCAAGUAUUCCGGGAUGGGAAUGGUUGUCUCAGAGGUGUGCUCUGUGGUUGACUGACCUUGAGCUUGCGUUUUCUUCCUUUUCUUUUUUUUUUAAAUUAUACUUUAGGUUUUAUGGUACAUGUGCACAUUGUGCAGGUUAGUUACAUAUGUAUACAUGUGCCAUGCUGGUGCGCUGCACCCACUAACUCGUCAUCUAGCAUUAGGUAUAUCUCCCAACGCUAUCCCUCCCCCCUCCCCCCACCCCAGAACAGUCCCCAGAGUGUGAUAUUCCCCUUCCUGUGCCCGUGUGAUCUCAUUGUUCAAUUCCCACCUAUGAGUGAGAAUAUGCGGUUUCUUAAUAUGUGUUUCUUAAUUGUGCAUCCUGCUGGGGUUGAGAACAGAAAUUGAAAAACACAAUUGUUUUAUCUCUCCUUCCCCGAGGAGUUGAACAUGUAGGAAGUUUCAUGGCCCAGCCCCUCCUGAGAGCCCUGAACUGCCAACCAGACUGAGCCCAUCAGAGAAUAACACCUCAUUUUCUGAGGAUUCUGAUACCUUUUCAAUCAGAAACAGAAGCAAAGAUUCUGCAGCUCCCACAGAAACUCCCAGAAACCUUGCGGUGCUUCACCCUUCUGAGAUCCUUGAGUCCGAAUGUGGGAGCUAACCAGGCACAUCUUCACAAUGAAAUCUUCACAAGCUCAGAACCAUCAACUUGCUACACUGUGUUCCUCCAGUGCCCAGUUCACAGGAAGCACUCAAGAGUAGGAUCAAUUGUUAUCAACCUCUAGCAGAUUAUUGAAUAGACGGUCGUUACAUGAAACUGACACUCAGUUCUUCAUGGUCCACGAUAGUUCUUAUAUCCAGAAAACGUACUUACGUUAUCAACUCUGACUCCAUAAGACAACUUUGCAAAGUCUUGGCUCAUAACUAUGUAAGCAAUGAGAUAACUUAGUUUUCAUUUCUCACUUGUUACUUACAAGUAAACAGCCCUGCAGCUCAGCUGAGCUACAGAUUAACUACAGGUAAUCACUUCAGCGAUUCUGCUUUACCCAUGCCCAAGAUUUUAAAAAAGAACCUGACAGAUCAUUAAAUUUUGAGAUUUGCUUUUUAAAAUGCAGGUUCCAUAAAGUUACGCUGUUUUGCUUAUAUAUACAGCAACAAAUGCCUUCUUAGAUAUUUACUUUAAAAUUCUAGUUUCCUUACCAUGUAUUAGCCAGAUAAUCUGUCAUUUUUUAAAUUCUGAAAUUGUACAUAUAUAAAUUAAUGUACAUCUCUAUGCCUGAAAGGUACAUUUGGAAUUACAACGUGUGUCAAGGUAGAGCAAAAUCCCCCAGUCCACUCCUUCCAACCCCCUAGAAAUUUACUCUGUUUGGUUUCCUCUUGAUUGUCUUUAAUUAACAAUAAGUAUGUCACAUAGGUAUCAAAUAAAAUAAGAAAAAAAAUAGAUAAAAGAGAAGUGAUUCAAAAUUCAAGUGUUUAAACACUUUAUGAAUCUUCCCGUUGUUCUUGACACAUUUUUAAAAUUUCAUUUUAAUUCAGAUCAUUAGGGAUGAAAUUCUCCUGAAUUGUAGCAUUUUAUUUCCUUUGGGAAGAAGGGGCUGAAUUUGGCAUAAUUAUACUUGACUAUACUGUAAAAGAAACCAGAUCUAAUAUAAGGACAUCAAUACUUAGUUAUUAAUUCAUUUGCUUAUAUUUAUAUGUCAUUUGAAAAUGUGUAUUAACAUACACAAUUAAAGGGAUAUAAAAAUGAACAUGCC
rnacentral:lncRNA from 1 species